rnacentral:misc_RNA from 1 species
CCCAAAUUUUUGGAAUAAAGGCUUCGUUGAGUUGAGUUGAGUAUAUUGCUAAUAUAUGUCAAAAGUAAAUCCUAUUAUUUAUUUUUUGAAUCUACUCUUUCUCUCAGCCUGCCGGUUUUCUAGAACCUGAGAUCAUUCACUAUAAUCCCAAGGAAUUUGACCUCGGGAAAAAGAAGGCAUUCCCAUUCCGUGACCAGGUAAAGAGAUUGCCAUGGCAGCAGUUGAUUUGGUGAAAAUUUGGUAACUGAAGACGGACUUUGAGUGUUAAGCAUAAUUUCCGUGCAAUAUUCAGAAGUAAUGUGGUGAAAUCUUAUCUAACCAUAGACAAUGACAACAGAUUUGGCUUUAUAAGAUUAUCCAUGCUAGUCGAAUUGCUCCUUUACUAAUGGAAUUUUCCUUUUUCAAUAAUGC